rnacentral:rRNA from 1 species
UACAGAGGUCCCGAGCGUUGUUCGGAUUCAUUGGGCGUAAAGGGUGCGUAGGCGGCGGGGCAAGUCUGAUGUGAAAUCCCGGGGCUCAACCCCGGAACUGCAUUGGAUACUGCCGUGCUUGAGUACUGGAGAGGAGACUGGAAUUUACGGUGUAGCAGUGAAAUGCGUAGAGAUCGUAAGGAAGGCCAGUGGCGAAGGCGAGUCUCUGGACAGUAACUGACGCUGAGGCACGAAGGCCAGGGGAGCAAACGGG